rnacentral:rRNA from 1 species
ACGGGGUGCAGCAGGCGCGAAAACUUUACAAUGCCGGCAACGGCGAUAAGGGGACCUCGAGUGCCAGGUUACAAAUCUGGCUGUCGUGAUGCCUAAAAAGCAUUGCACAGCAAGGGCCGGGCAAGACCGGUGCCAGCCGCCGCGGUAACACCGGCGGCUCGAGUGGUGACCGCUAUUAUUGGGUUUAAAGGGUCUGUAGCCGGCCGGAUAAGUCUCUUGAGAAAUCUGGCCGCUUAACGGUCAGGCUUUCAGGAGAUACUGUCUGGCUCGAGGCCGGGAGAGGUGAGAGGUACUUCAGGGGUAGGGGUGAAAUCUUGUAAUCCUUGAAGGACCACCAGUGGCGAAGGCGUCUCACCAGAACGGACCUGACGGCAAGGGACGAAAGCUAGGGGCACGAACCGGAUUAGAUACCCGGGUAGUCCUAGCCGUAAACGAUACUCGCUAGGUGUCGGCCACGGUGCGACCGUUGUCGGUGCCGUAGGGAAGCCGUGAAGCGAGCCACCUGGGAAGUACGGCCGCAAGGCUGAAACUUAAAGGAAUUGGCGGGGGAGCAC